rnacentral:rRNA from 1 species
UGCGUAGGCGGUUGCUUAAGUUGGAUGUGAAAUACCCGGGCUUAACUUGGGGGGUGCAUUCAAAACUGGGCGACUAGAGUACAGGAGAGGGAAGCGGAAUUCCUAGUGUAGCGGUGAAAUGCGUAGAUAUUAGGAGGAACACCAGUGGCGAAGGCGGCUUUCUGGACUGACACUGACGCUGAGGCACGAAAGCGUGGGGAGCAAACA